CAGUAGCCACGGUAAUACGAAGGGUGCAAGCGUUAAUCGGAAUUACUGGGCGUAAAGCGUGCGUAGGCGGUUUGUUAAGUCUGCUGUGAAAUCCCCGGGCUCAACCUGGGAAUGGCAGUGGAUACUGGCAAGCUAGAGUGUGUCAGAGGAUGGUGGAAUUCCCGGUGUAGCGGUGAAAUGCGUAGAGAUCGGGAGGAACAUCAGUGGCGAAGGCGGCCAUCUGGGACAACACUGACGCUGAGGCACGAAAGCGUGGGGAGCAAACAGGAUUAGAGACCCGAGUAGUCCCUGUCUCUUAUAC
rnacentral:rRNA from 1 species